rnacentral:rRNA from 1 species
GAUGAACGCUGGCGGCGUGCCUAACACAUGCAAGUCGAGCGAAGCAUUUUAAAGGAAGUUUUCGGAUGGAAUUUGAAAUGACUGAGCGGCGACGGGUGAGUAACGCGUGGGUAACCUGCCUCAUACAGGGGGAUAACAGUUAGAAAUGACUGCUAAUACCGCAUAAGCGCACAGUACCACAUGGUACGGUGUGAAAAAACUCCGGUGGUAUGAGAUGGACCCGCGUCUGAUUAGCUGGUUGGUGGGGUAACGGCCCACCAAGGCGACGAUCAGUAGCCGACCUGAGAGGGUGAUCGGCCACAUUGGGACUGAGACACGGCCCAA